GAUGAACGCUGGCGGCGUGCCUAACACAUGCAAGUCGAGCGAUUUACUUCGGUAAAGAGCGGCGGACGGGUGAGUAACGCGUGGGUAACCUGCCCUGUACACACGGAUAACAUACCGAAAGGUAUGCUAAUACGAGAUAAUAUGCUUUUAUCGCAUGGUAGAAGUAUCAAAGCUUUUGCGGUACAGGAUGGACCCGCGUCUGAUUAGCUAGUUGGUGAGGUAACGGCUCACCAAGGCGACGAUCAGUAGCCGACCUGAGAGGGUGAUCGGCCACAUUGGAACUGAGACACGGUCCAAACUCCUACGGGAGGCAGCAGUGGGGAAUAUUGCACAAUGGGCGAAAGCCUGAUGCAGCAACGCCGCGUGAGCGAUGAAGGCCUUCGGGUCGUAAAGCUCUGUCCUCAAGGAAGAUAAUGACGGUACUUUAGGAGGAAGCCCCGGCUAACUACGUG
rnacentral:rRNA from 1 species